AACCCAGGGGCAUUUCCCUCUGACGUUUCUCUCGCGAGUGAAACGUUAGAGGGAAAUACCCCUGGGUU
rfam:Nematostella vectensis strain CH2 x CH6 NEMVEscaffold_11_Cont2310, whole genome shotgun sequence.